rnacentral:rRNA from 1 species
AGAGCGCACGGCGGAUGCCUAGGCGCCAGGAGCCGAAGAAGGACGGGGCCAGCACCGAAAUGCCACGGGGAGCCGCAAGCAGGCGUCGAUCCGUGGAUGUCCGAAUGGGGCAACCCGCUGUCCGUAAUGGGGCAGCAUCCUUGCCUGAAUCCAUAGGGUAAGGAAGGCAACCGGGGGAACUGAAACAUCUAAGUACCCCGAGGAAAAGAAAUCAACCGAGAUUCCCUAAGUAGCGGCGAGCGAACGGGGAAGAGCCCAAACCCAUGCAGCGUGAUAGCCCGCAAGCGUUGCUGUAUGGGGGUUGUACGGCUUAAGGGGAGCUGUUGCGGCAGCUCACAGGUAUGCUUGCAAUCUAGCAGAAGGGUCUGGAAAGUCCCGCCAAAGAGAGUGACAGCCUCGUAUGCGAAAGGUUGCGGCAGCCUGCUUAAGUCCGUGAGUAGCACGGGACACGUGGAAUCCUGUGUGAAUCUGGGGGGACCACCCUCCAAGGCUAAAUACUCCCUGGCGACCGAUAGCGCAUAGUACCGUGAGGGAAAGGUGAAAAGCACCCCGGGAGGGGAGUGAAAUAGAACCUGAAACCGUGCGCUUACAAGCAGUCGGAGGACGUUAAAGUCUGACGGCGUACUUUUUGUAGAACGGACCGGCGAGUUAUGGUAGGCAGCGAGGUUAAGCAUGUAAGAUGCGGAGCCGCAGGGAAACCGAGUCUGAAGAGGGCGCUAAGUUGCCUGCUGUAGACCCGAAACCGGGUGAUCUACCCAUGGCCAGGGUGAAGUUGAGGUAAAGCUCAAUGGAGGCCCGAACCCACUAACGUUGAAAAGUUAGGGGAUGAGCUGUGGGUAGGGGUGAAAAGCCAAUCGAACCCGGAGAUAGCUGGUUCUCCUCGAAAUAGCUUUAGGGCUAGCCUCAGUGAAGAGACUAGCGGAGGUAGAGCACUGAUCGAGCUAGGGGCCCCGAAAGGUUACCGAACUCUUUCAAACUCCGAAUGCCGCUAGUUGUUAACUGGGAGUCAGACUGCGGGGGAUAAGCUCCGUAGUCGAGAGGGAAAGAGCCCAGACCGACAGCUAAGGUCCCUAAGUGCGGACUAAGUGGAAAAGGAUGUGCAACUGCACAGACAACCAGGAUGUUGGCUUAGAAGCAGCCAUUCAUUUAAAGAGUGCGUAAUAGCUCACUGGUCAAGUGGUUGUGCGCCGAAAAUGUAACGGGGCUGAAGUCCGCCACCGAAGCUUCGGGCAUGCUGGUUAUCUCUGUUUUCUCCUGAAGGUGAACGUCAGUUGGGAACAUUUUGUCAAAACGAACCUUUUGAUUUUGGUGGAACGUUUUGACCAAAUGACUCCAAGCUGAAGUCCGCUGUAGAGGAGGCAACAGAGAUAACCAGCAUGCGGUAGAGGAGCGUUCCAACAGCACUGAAGGUAGACUGUGAAGACUGCUGGAGCGGUUGGAAGUGAGAAUGCCGGUAUGAGUAGCGAAAAGGAGGGUGAGAAUCCCUCCCGCCGAAAGCCUAAGGAUUCCUGAGGAAGGCUCGUCCGCUCAGGGUAAGUCGGGACCUAAGGCGAGGCCGAAAGGCGUAGUCGAUGGACAACAGGUUGAAAUUCCUGUACCACCGAGCAUCGCUUGAGCGAAGUGGUGACGCAGAAGGGUAGGUCAUCACCCGGAUGGAUGUGGGUGUCCAAGCGUGUAGAGGGCAAGGCAGGCAAAUCCGCCUUGCGAAACCUUGAGGCGUGAUGGGGAGGCGAAAUUUAGUAGCCGAACUGACUGAUCCCAUGCUGCCGAGAAAAGCCGCUAGCGAGAUGCAAGGUGCCCGUACCGCAAACCGACACAGGUAGGCGAGGAGAGAAUCCUAAGGCGCGCGAGAGAACCCCUGUUAAGGAACUCGGCAAAAUGACUCCGUAACUUCGGGAGAAGGAGUGCCUAAGUAGUGUGAAGUUGAACAGAUGGAGCACGAACAGGCCGCAGAGAAAUGGCCCAAGCGACUGUUUACCAAAAACACAGGUCUCUGCUAAGUGGAAACACGAAGUAUAGGGGCUGACGCCUGCCCAAUGCCGGAAGGUUAAGGGGAGAGGUUAGCGCAAGCGAAGCUUCGAACCGAAGCCCCGGUCAAUGGCGGCCGUAACUAUAACGGUCCUAAGGUAGCGAAAUUCCUUGUCGGGUAAGUUCCGACCUGCACGAAAGGCGUAACGACUUGGGCGCUGUCUCGACGGGGGGCUCGGCGAAAUUGUAGUACCUGUGAAGAUGCAGGUUACCCGCGACAAGACGGAAAGACCCCGUGGAGCUUUACUGCAGCUUGGUAUUGAAUUUUGGUAUGGAAUGUAUAGGAUAGGUGGGAGACUUAGAAGCCGGGACGCUAGUUUCGGUGGAGUCGUCGGUGGAAUACCACUCUUUUCAUGCUAGAAUUCUAACUGGCGGCCCUGAAUCGGGUCACAGGACAGUAUCAGGCGGGCAGUUUGACUGGGGCGGUCGCCUCCUAAAAGGUAACGGAGGCGCCCAAAGGUUCCCUCGGUGCGGAUGGAAAUCGCACGAGAGAGUGUAAAGGCAGAAGGGAGCUUGACUGCGAGACGGACAUGUCGAGCAGGUACGAAAGUAGGGCUUAGUGAUCCGGUGGUUCUGAGUGGAAGGGCCAUCGCUCAACGGAUAAAAGCUACCCCGGGGAUAACAGGCUUAUCUCCCCCAAGAGUUCACAUCGACGGGGAGGUUUGGCACCUCGAUGUCGGCUCGUCGCAUCCUGGAGCUGGAGAAGGUUCCAAGGGUUGGGCUGUUCGCCCAUUAAAGCGGUACGCGAGCUGGGUUCAGAACGUCGUGAGACAGUUCGGUCCCUAUCUGUCGCGGGCGUAGGAGAUUUGAGAGGAUCUGUCCCUAGUACGAGAGGACCGGGAUGGACGCACCGCUGGCUUACCAGUUGUCCCGCCAGGGGCACGGCUGGCACCCCAAGUGCGGAGUGGAUAAGCGCUGAAAGCAUCUAAGCGCGAAGCCCACCUCAAGAUGAGAUCUCCCACAGCGUUAAGCUGGUAAGACCCCUCAUAGAAGAUGAGGUAGAUAGGCCGGAGGUGUAAGGUCAGUGAUGGCUUGAGCUGUCCGGUACUAAUGGUUCGAGGGCUUGACCU